GUGCUCACUUUGGCAGCACAUCUACUAAAAUUAGAAUGAUACAGAGAUUAGCAUGACCCCUGCUCAAGGAUGACAUGCAAAUUCGUGAAGCGUUCCAUAUUUUA